rnacentral:rRNA from 1 species
GAUCCUGGCUCAGGAUGAACGCUAGCUACAGGCUUAACACAUGCAAGUCGAGGGAACGAUAGAGAAAGCUUGCUUUUCUAGGCGUCGACCGGCGCACGGGUGAGUAACGCGUAUCCAACCUGCCCACCACUUGGGGAUAACCUUGCGAAAGUAAGACUAAUACCCAAUGACGUCUCUAGAAGACAUCUGAAAGAGAUUAAAGAUUUAUCGGUGAUGGAUGGGGAUGCGUCUGAUUAGCUUGUUGGCGGGGUAACGGCCCACCAAGGCGACGAUCAGUAGGGGUUCUGAGAGGAAGGUCCCCCACAUUGGAACUGAGACACGGUCCAAACUCCUACGGGAGGCAGCAGUGAGGAAUAUUGGUCAAUGGACGAGAGUCUGAACCAGCCAAGUAGCGUGCAGGAUGACGGCCCUAUGGGUUGUAAACUGCUUUUAUAAGGGAAUAAAGUGAGUCUCGUGAGACUUUUUGCAUGUACCUUAUGAAUAAGGACCGGCUAAUUCCGUG